rnacentral:rRNA from 1 species
UACGUAGGGAGCAAGCGUUGUCCGGAAUCAUUGGGCGUAAAGCGCGCGUAGGCGGUUUGUCGCGUCUGCUGUGAAAACUCGGGGCUUAACCCCGGGCCUGCAGUGGGUACGGGGCAGACUAGAGUGCGGUAGGGGAGACUGGAAUUCCUGGUGUAGCGGUGAAAUGCGUAGAUAUUGGGAGGAACACCUGUGGCGAAAGCGGCGCACUGGACCACAACUGACGCUGAGGCGCGAAAGCUAGGGGGAGCAAACAGG